CCUACGGGUGGCAGCAGUGGGGAAUAUUGCACAAUGGGGGAAACCCUGAUGCAGCAACGCCGCGUGAAGGAAGACGGUUUUCGGAUUGUAAACUUCUGUUCUUAGUGAAGAAUAAUGACGGUAGCUAAGGAGCAAGCCACGACUAACUACGCGCCAGCAGCAGCGGUAAUAUGUAGGUGGCAAGCGUUGUCCGGAAUUACUGGGUGUAAAGGGAGCGCAGGCGGGAAGGCAAGUAAGCUGUGAAAACUACGGGCUUAACUUGUAGACUGCAGUUGAGAAUGGUUUUCUUGAGUGAAGGAGAGGUUGGCGGAAUUCCGGGUGUAGCGGUGAAAUGCGUAGAUAUUCGGAGGAACACCGGUGGCGAAGGCGGCCUACUGGGCAUUAACUGACGCUGAGGCUCGAAAGUGUGGGGAGCAAACAGGAUUAGAUACCCCUGUAGUC
rnacentral:rRNA from 1 species